GGCUCAGGACGAACGCUGGCGGCGUGCCUAAUACAUGCAAGUCGAGCGGACUGAUUAAGAGCUUGCUCUUAUGACGUUAGCGGCGGACGGGUGAGUAACACGUGGGCAACCUGCCCUGUAGAUCGGGAUAACACCGAGAAAUCGGUGCUAAUACCGGGUAAUAGAGUGAACGCGCAUGCGUUUACUCUCAAAGAUGGCUCCGGCUAUCACUACAGGAUGGGCCCGCGGCGCAUUAGCUAGUUGGUAAGGUAAUGGCUUACCAAGGCGACGAUGCGUAGCCGACCUGAGAGGGUGAUCGGCCACACUGGGACUGAGACACGGCCCAGACUCCUACGGGAGGCAGCAGUAGGGAAUCUUCCGCAAUGGACGAAAGUCUGACGGAGCAACGCCGCGUGAGUGAUGAAGGGUUUCGGCUCGUAAAGCUCUGUUGUUAGGGAAGAACAAGUAUCGUUCGAAUAGGCGGACCUGACGGACCACC
rnacentral:rRNA from 1 species